rnacentral:lncRNA from 1 species
AGUGCAAAGGAAAAUCUUAACAUGGAUCGUUUCGCUGGAGUUGAGAACAUGCUUUUUCCCCCCUGUCACCUUAUUAAAAUCAAAAAUUAAAAAAAAAAACAAAACUCUCUAAAUCCUGGAAGUAUGAUCGGAGUCCAGCCCCGAUUUUAGUCCAAAGGACGUGCUUUUGGGAAUUGUGUGUCCGGCUCCAGCGUUUUGCCUGCUGAGGAAGAGGCCUGCUCUGUUCUCCAGCCUUGUUUUGUGGAUUUCUAUCUCUCCAAAUAAUUCCUCAGCAUCCCCUUGAAUGGCAUCUACCGCACUAGAGAGCUUUUCCAACCCACAAGCCUGAAACAACUUCCCACAACUGAAAUGACUCCAGCACAGCUAUUCCCUAGAAGACAUCCCUCCUGAUUUCUUGUGGGGCCUGUAAGAUAUCUGAAGUUGUAGAUGUUGCACAGAACUUCUCCUGCACGGAUACAUGCUCACACUCCCUGCUCAUGCACAUGGAUGCAUAUAAAGACAAUAAUUUCUCACUGUUAUUACUGGAGGGAAAGAAAAGAACAUUAGCAGCACUAAGAAACCCCAUUUCGCCUUUGUAGGAAGUGACUCUACUGUAUAACUGCUAGCAAAAUAAAGGAUCCAAAGGCACAUCAAGGGGAAAAAACUGUUUUCAUGUGUUUAACCUGUUAAUUAUAGUAAUCUACACUACAGUGGAAAGCGCUAACAGGGAAGGAAUGUGCCUCAAACCCCCAGCCAUGCCGAUGCUUGGCAGCCCAUGUCAGCACCAUGUUAAAUGGAUAAACUGGGGCUCUGAUGACUACCCCACCUCUUAUUGCCAAUAAAGAAGGAAUAAAGCUGGAGACACUGGCACCAGGGCAGAGGCUCAGAAGCUACAGUGCUCGGAGGACAGCUUAGCCUCUCUGCAGAUAUAAACAGGGCAGAAAUCAAUUUUACUAAUUGCGGUGGAUACCAUGAGAUCUGUAUCAUCACUCUUGGAAAUGAAAUGCAGGUAAUGAAACCAGUUGAAAUGAAGACAUUACCAACUUGUGACACUUAUUCGUAACACGCAUAUGAAUAGAAAUGCCUCAGGUGGCAUUUAGGACGACUGUCAGUAACUAUUGUUCAAAUCAUCUGUUCUCUUUUGUUCCCCAAACAACUCCUUUUCCUAUGUCAAAGGCAGUUGCCAAGGUGAAUUCACAUUCUGGCACAGCACGUGCACCCAUGUUUGUAUGUUACUUCUUUUGUAUGGUAUGGCAUGGCUGGUGAGUGUGGGUGAGAUAUACCUGGCUGAACGUAAACUUGUUUUAGGUGUUUAUAUUAGGACAAAAUGCAUUAUGCCCCAGGAUUUUUGUCUUCUUUCUAACCAGGAGCCAAAGUUAAUGAGCUGUAGAAGCCUGCAUUUGUGUUACCUCAAAACCAGAGUAGUAGGGUCCACUUGGGUGUUGUUUAAGGGUUUAUGUUUCACAAGUAAUACGAACCCUGAGGUUGGCAUAUGGCCUUGGUGCUGGUGAUGUAACUCCUGGCAGUAAUGUUCUGAUGCUAAUGCAGGCAAGUUAUGGGACCUUUGUCCCCGUAUUUCCUUGUUUCCAGUUUACAUGUAUUUUUAGAAACUAACUUAGGUUUAAACAUCUUCAGUUCAGAGAGCUUGUUAGAUUUUCACACUAACAUUUAUGCCUUUCUGAUCAAAAUGUUCUAACUUAAAAAAUGUAGGCUUUUGGUUGGAUUGUUGGGUUUUGGGUUGUUUUUAGUCUUCUUGUUUUGAGUUCAUUUCUCUUUGGAAAAGGUCUUUUCCCAGCACUCUUGGCUGUACACAGCCAGAGUUUACAAGGUGCACUGAAAUUGAAAUAUCAAAGAGAACUGUUGAAAUGACAUGCUUGUGAAAUGUGUGCAAUUAUCUGCUAUUAACUCAUCUGGAAUCCUGUGAUGAGCAAACUGUGAUUUUCAAUGUGUCAUUACACUGUUACAUCAAUGGGUUGUUCAACAGCUCAAUUUAAAAAAUACUCAAGAAAUAAUCAUUAUAAGAGGUAAUCCUUCCUAUUUGGUUCAAAUAUAUCUGUUCCAGCAUUAGGCUGACAUGAUCAUGGAUCUCAUGAUGUUUCAGUGCUUUGUUUGGAUUUGCUUUCCAGUAUUUACUGCUGAUUUUGCUGUGGGUAUUUUACUUUUUACAAGACAUCUCAGAGUCUGUUUUCUAAUUAUGUAGAGAAGUAUGAGGGAUAAUGUAACCAUUUCUGAUUUCUUGCUUUAAGCUAUAGUGACACAGUGGUGGUCUUCACACAGUGUCAGAGUGGUUAUUUUGUUGUUAUGGUGCUACAAUUUUGCCUCUUCUGGUGGCUAUUCAGCUCGAGUUACUGCGUUCUAGCACUGAAAAGGUAAAUCUAUCUUGUGUUUUUAAUUUGCAAUUAAUAGAAUUUGUAUGG